UCUGUCCGCCUCAUCGUCCCUCUUCCUCUCUGUUGCUCUCGAUCUCUCUACCCAAAAUAGCAAAGAAACAGAUAUUGCUCUCCUUUAGUUCUGAUUUUCUACACAAUCCUCCUUCUUGUUUCUACAUAGAGCAAACAUAAAUCCCAAGAUUUUCAAACAGAUCCUCUUCGAUUACUAGAAGAAAAAAACCCUAGCUAUCUCUUUCAUGCCGCACCUCGCAUACUUUCUUUCGUUCUGGUUUCCAGAGACCUAGAAAAGCUACAAUCAUAUAUUUCGAUCUAUAAGAUAAUUUCUUUCUUACCGUGAUAAUCGUAGAAGAGUACAACGGAAAUCAGUGAAGAUAUUUUGGCUAGAAGCUAUUCUUCCAUUUGGAAUUAUCGUGGAUUUUAAAGGAUUUUGGUUUGAAGAAGAAGUUUAUGUUUUUCCUUCGAUUACUCAUGAGAAUUCUUGAUUUUACUUUUUCUCUUUUUAAUUAGGGUUCUUUUAGAAUCAUAGGCUUGAUUACUAAAGAUGCAGCAGAUUUAGUUGCAAUCACCCCUAUGCAGUCUCCUCAAAGUACUCUUGAAAUACGUGCUCUAAUAGGCACAUAUUCGUUUAUAGUGGAUCUUCUGAACUCUCAAGAAGUGUUAUAUGUGGAUUUCUAUCAUUCGUUAGUGGAAGAGCUUCAAUUUGUAAGGAGAAGAGUUUCAUUUACAAUCCACUCAUCUAAAAGGCUAUCCAUGGAGUACCGCAUUGCUGUAGUAUUGUUUUAUAAUCUGAAGUAUAUGGAAAGAUUAGUUGCACAACGAGUGCUUAGGCAGUCACCAGAUUUUCUUAGCUUCUUGGCCACCUUUUCUUUCUUGGAUCUCAAAGCUUGCUUUCACAGGAUCAACUAUAAGCAGCAAGCAGCAAAAUUAUUUCUGAACUGGCUAUAGAAACAACCUUAAGCCAGUGACUCUGGAGCUUGGAGGGAAAUCUCCAUUCUUUGUAUUGAAACUGGCGACAAUGGUUACUAUAUUCUUCUUACUGUCUUCUCAAAUGCCCAAGUAUCAUAUACUACAUCUAGAUCGUCGUUUUUUUACUACUAUAAUUACAUUUCAGAACUAAUAAAGUUGAAUGUGUAUAAAAUUAGGAUAAAAUGUUGAUUGCCAAGGAUGAGAUCUUUGGGCCGUUCAGAGCAUCUUGAAAUGCUAGCCUGUUUAGUAGUGUUUCAUGCUUUAUCUUGUUUUGUUUCAGACUUUGCGCUUUCUUAAAGUUUGCUCUCGUUAGGGGCAUGAAAAAGCUACUGCUGAAGAGGGACCAUGGAUGAUAACAUUGGAUGCUCGCCUAUAAAUGAUUUUUACUUUCAGUUCAUCAUUUUUUGUAUAUAUGUGGUGGUUCUUGUUCUGUUAUAUGUGAAUGCACAGGGGAAAUAUCAUACCCUGCGAGGUAUUACGCCGGUUGGAAGUGAACUGCAGUGGAGAUCGCAUCAACAGUGUACCUGAUAGAUUACCUAGACCAAUUGAUGUAAAUGGUUGCAUGUAUCGUAUCCAGGACCAUUCUUGAUUCCCUCACACGUGAAGUCAAAGAAGUUGGCCCUGAUGGAAAAAAGGAUACUAAAGUGGCCUGCACUUCUCUAGUGCAGCUCAACUUCUGUGAUCAAAGAGGCUCACACUUCAGUUCAAGGAAAGCGGGGUUAGGCAUGGCAAGGCUAAGGAGAGAAUUGAAGAGGUUGCCGAAAUGUCUUUUUUUCCUUUCCUGCAAAGGAGAUUGUGCUUAAUAUCUUUGAGAUGGGCACUGGAUGAGCUGCUGGACCAAUCAGCUUCCAUGCAGGCAAACAAAUACUAGCCACGGUACCUGGAGAGGUCCUCUUAGAUUCUUCCAAUACUUUCAAGGCAAGGGUAUCGAUGCAGCUGAAGUUGCCGAAAAACAAGCUCUUUCUACUUCAUCCAAAACUGCAACCAAAAUGGUUAGCGAUAGGCACUUACAGAAGAAAUGCUCUUGUCUGAUCUUAAAGAAAGCAGCUGAGAGCAACCACAGUGGACGACCAAAACUAAAAAACUGGACCAAAUAUCAGACACUAUGCAACGGAUCAAAGAGCAAAUACUAGACUAAAACUAAAAACCAGACCAUAUUUGGUCUUUAGUUUGGUUUUGGUGGAGCGUAAAAUAGGACUACUCCAACGUGGGGCGCAACUUUAAUCACCACCUGGUAGUGAGAUGCAAACCAAAAUUGCGCCUGUACGAAGCGGAAUAUGAACCAACGCCUGGUGGGGCAUAGUUUUAAAAUGAGCCUGAUUUCAGACUACACUCAAAGUUACGCCUGGUGUCUGUUGAAUACUAUAACUGAUUUUGAUCUUAAUUUGGAAUAAUUGAACUAUAACUGCCGUGAAUAAUAGAACUAUAAUUGCCGUAAUUGAACUAUAAUUCCCGUAAUUGAACUCGUUUCAGUGUACUAAUAUUAGUUAGUGC